rnacentral:tRNA from 1 species
UAGCUCAGUUGGUAGAGUGCUUGCCUUGCAGGCAUAAGGCCCUGGGUUCAAUCCCCAG